rnacentral:rRNA from 1 species
GUCCACGCAGUAAACGAUGAAUACUAGCUGUUGGCGAUAUAAUGUCAGCGGUACAGCGAAAGUGUUAAGUAUUCCACCUGGGGAGUACGCCGGCAAACGGUGAAAACUCAAAAGGAAUUGACGGGGGGCCCGCACAAGCGGAGGAACAUGUGGUUUAAUUCGAUGAUACGCGAGGAACCUUACCCGGGCUUGAAAGUUAGUGAAUGACUUGGAAAACAGGUCAGUCCUUGGGACACGAAACUAAGUGCUGCAUGGUUGUCGU